UAACGUUAUUUAUGUUAGAUUCCACAUUCUCAGAAGCACGUUUCUUCACUGCAGGUUUCUGUGAAGCGCAGAGAUGAGGCAAAUCCAUGCCUGGAUUAUAUUCCUCUCUCACCUUGCACAGGUGUGGAGAGCUGAUAUGGCCCAAACCCACAUUCUCUCACUGCACCAUGGGAAGAAGUGGGACAGAUGUGAAUAAAGUCAGUCAUUCAUGCAGGUUUGGAACGACUCAAGGGUGCUCAUCUUUGACUGGCGGCGGCGCUGGACUGGAUU